rnacentral:misc_RNA from 1 species
GUAUUGUAUUGCGUUAAACGCGGCAUACAUUCCAUAAGACUUUAUUGUGGUGUGUGUGUGUAAAGACGUAGGACCACAGCAAGGGGACAGAGUCUCCAAGGCCAUAGAACUACAGAGGGUGCACAGGUGUGAGUGGAUGUGUAAACAGAGCGUGCACGUGCCCCCUUUUGAGGGCCAGCAACAACUCGUGUCGACAGUUCAGUAAUGAUCCUUCCGCAGGUUCACCUACGGAAA